CAGUCGCCGCGGUAAUACAGAGGGUGCGAGCGUUAAUCGGAUUUACUGGGCGUAAAGCGUGCGUAGGCGGCUUCUUAAGUCGGAUGUGAAAUCCCUGAGCUUAACUUAGGAAUUGCAUUCGAUACUGGGAAGCUAGAGUAUGGGAGAGGAUGGUAGAAUUCCAGGUGUAGCGGUGAAAUGCGUAGAGAUCUGGAGGAAUACCGAUGGCGAAGGCAGCCAUCUGGCCUAAUACUGACGCUGAGGUACGAAAGCAUGGGGAGCAAACAGGAUUAGAUACCCCCGUAGUCACUGUCUCUUAUAC
rnacentral:rRNA from 1 species